rnacentral:rRNA from 1 species
GAUGAACGCUAGCGGCAGGCCUAAUACAUGCAAGUCGAGGGGUAACACAGGUAGCAAUACUGGGUGACGACCGGCGCACGGGUGCGUAACACGUAUAUAAUCUGCCCUCAGCAGGAGGAUAGCCCGGAGAAAUUCGGAUUAAUACUCCAUAACAUUGCUUUGUGGCAUCACAGAGCAAUUAAAGUUCCGACGGAUAAGGAUGAAUAUGCGACUGAUUAGCUAGUUGGUGAGGUAACGGCUCACCAAGGCGACGAUCAGUAGGGGUACUGAGAGAUUAAACCCCCACACUGGUACUGAGACACGGACCAGACUCCUACGGGAGGCAGCAGUAAGGAAUAUUGGACAAUGGAGGCAACUCUGAUCCAGCCAUGCCGCGUGCAGGAAGAAGGCGCUACGCGUUGUAAACUGCUUUUAUAACAGAGAAAACCCCGGUACGUGUACUGGGUUGAUAGUAUGUUAAGAAUAAGCAUCGGCUAACUUCGUGCCAGCAGCCGCCGUAAGAC